GAUGAACGCUGGCGGCGUGCCUAAUACAUGCAAGUCGAGCGAACAGACGAGGAGCUUGCUCCUCUGACGUUAGCGGCGGACGGGUGAGUAACACGUGGAUAACCUACCUAUAAGACUGGGAUAACUUCGGGAAACCGGAGCUAAUACCGGAUAAUAUAUUGAACCGCAUGGUUCAAUAGUGAAAGACGGUUUUGCUUGCAAUUAUAGAUGGAUCCGCGCCGCAUUAGCUAGUUGGUAAGGUAACGGCUUACCAAGGCAACGAUGCGUAGCCGACCUGAGAGGGUGAUCGGCCACACUGGAACUGAGACACGGUCCAGACUCCUACGGGAGGCAGCAGUAGGGAAUCUUCCGCAAUGGGCGAAAGCCUGACGGAGCAACGCCGCGUGAGUGAUGAAGGUCUUCGGAUCGUAAAACUCUGUUAUUAGGGAAGAACAAAUGUGUAAGUAACUAUGCACGUCUUGACGGUACCUAAUCAGAAAGCCACGGCUAACUACGUG
rnacentral:rRNA from 1 species